CAAUAGCGUAUAUUUAAGUUGUUGCAGUUAAAAAGCUCGUAGUUGGAUUUCGGAUGGGAUCUGCCGGUCCGCCUUUGAGGUGUGUACUGGUAGGUCCUAUCUUGUUGUCGGGGACCAGCUCCUGGGCUUCACUGUCCGGGACUAGGAGCUGACGAGGUUACUUUGAGUAAAUUAGAGUGUUCAAAGCAAGCCUACGCUCUGAAUACAUUAGCAUGGAAUAACACGAUAGGACUCUGGCUUAUCUUGUUGGUCUGUGAGACCAGAGUAAUGAUUAAGAGGGACAGUCGGGGGCAUUCGUAUUUCAUUGUCAGAGGUGAAAUUCUUGGAUUUAUGAAAGACGAACUUCUGCGAAAGCAUUUGUCAAGGAUGUUUNCAUUAA
rnacentral:rRNA from 1 species